rnacentral:rRNA from 1 species
AGAGUUUGAUCAUGGCUCAGGGCGAACGCUGGCGGCAGGCUUAACACAUGCAAGUCGAGCGGGCGUAGCAAUACGUCAGCGGCAGACGGGUGAGUAACGCGUGGGAACGUACCUUUUGGUUCGGAACAACACAGGGAAACUUGUGCUAAUACCGGAUAAGCCCUUACGGGGAAAGAUUUAUCGCCGAAAGAUCGGCCCGCGUCUGAUUAGCUAGUUGGUGAGGUAACGGCUCACCAAGGCGACGAUCAGUAGCUGGUCUGAGAGGAUGAUCAGCCACAUUGGGACUGAGACACGGCCCAAACUCCUACGGGAGGCAGCAGUGGGGAAUAUUGGACAAUGGGCGCAAGCCUGAUCCAGCCAUGCCGCGUGGGUGAUGAAGGCCCUAGGGUUGUAAAGCUCUUUUGUGCGGGAAGAUAAUGACGGUACCGCAAGAAUAAGCCCCGGCUAACUUCGUGCCAGCAGCCGCGGUAAUACGAAGGGGGCUAGCGUUGCUCGGAAUCACUGGGCGUAAAGGGUGCGUAGGCGGGUCUUUAAGUCAGGGGUGAAAUCCUGGAGCUCAACUCCAGAACUGCCUUUGAUACUGAGGAUCUUGAGUUCGGGAGAGGUGAGUGGAACUGCGAGUGUAGAGGUGAAAUUCGUAGAUAUUCGCAAGAACACCAGUGGCGAAGGCGGCUCACUGGCCCGAUACUGACGCUGAGGCACGAAAGCGUGGGGAGCAAACAGGAUUAGAUACCCCCGUAGUCC